rnacentral:rRNA from 1 species
GAUACCCUAUUAUUUUGAAUGUUAUUUUAGUCUUUAUUUAUUAAUAGGUAAGUUCUUUAAAAUUAAAAGAUUUGGCGGUAUUUUAGUCUGUUCAGAGGAACCUGUUAUUUAAUUGAUGGUCCCCGAUAAGCAUUACUUUAUUUUUAAAUUUAUAUAUCGUCGUUUAUAAAAAUUUUAUUAGGAUACUAAUUUUUAUUAUUUGUUAUUUUAUUUUAUUUCAGAUCAAGGUGUAGUUUAUGUUAAAGUUUUAAUGGGUUACAUUACUAUUAAGUGUGGUUUUUUGAUUUAAAAUUAAUGAUAAAUUGGAUUUGGAAGUAAAUUUUUGAUUUAUGAAAUUU